GAUGAACGCUGGCGGCGUGCCUAAUACAUGCAAGUCGAGCGAACGGACGAGAAGCUUGCUUCUCUGAUGUUAGCGGCGGACGGGUGAGUAACACGUGGAUAACCUACCUAUAAGACUGGGAUAACUUCGGGAAACCGGAGCUAAUACCGGAUAAUAUUUUGAACCGCAUGGUUCAAAAGUGAAAGACGGUCUUGCUGUCACUUAUAGAUGGAUCCGCGCUGCAUUAGCUAGUUGGUAAGGUAACGGCUUACCAAGGCAACGAUGCAUAGCCGACCUGAGAGGGUGAUCGGCCACACUGGAACUGAGACACGGUCCAGACUCCUACGGGAGGCAGCAGUAGGGAAUCUUCCGCAAUGGGCGAAAGCCUGACGGAGCAACGCCGCGUGAGUGAUGAAGGUCUUCGGAUCGUAAAACUCUGUUAUUAGGGAAGAACAUAUGUGUAAGUAACUGUGCACAUCUUGACGGUACCUAAUCAGAAAGCCACGGCUAACUACGUGCCAGCAGCCGCGGUAAUACGUAGGUGGCAAGCGUUAUCCGGAAUUAUUNGGGCGUAAGCGCGCGUAGCGGUUUUUUAAGUCUGAUGUGAAAGCCCACGGCUCAACCGUGGAGGGUCAUUGGAAACUGGAAAACUUGAGUGCAGAAGAGGAAAGUGGAAUUCCAUGUGUAGCGGUGAAAUGCGCAGAGAUAUGGAGGAACACCAGUGGCGAAGGCGACUUUCUGGUCUGUAACUGACGCUGAUGUGCGAAAGCGUGGGGAUCAAACAGGAUUAGAUACCCUGGUAGUCCACGCCGUAAACGAUGAGUGCUAAGUGUUAGGGGGUUUCCGCCCCUUAGUGCUGCAGCUAACGCAUUAAGCACCCCGCCUGGGGAGUACGACCGCAAGGUUGAAACUCAAAGGAAUUGACGGGGACCCGCACAAGCGGUGGAGCAUGUGGUUUAAUUCGAAGCAACGCGAAGAACCUUACCAAAUCUUGACAUCCUUUGACAACUCUAGAGAUAGAGCCUUCCCCUUCGGGGGACAAAGUGACAGGUGGUGCAUGGUUGUCGUCAGCUCGUGUCGUGAGAUGUUGGGUUAAGUCCCGCAACGAGCGCAACCCUUAAGCUUAGUUGCCAUCAUUAAGUUGGGCACUCUAAGUUGACUGCCGGUGACAAACCGGAGGAAGGUGGGGAUGACGUCAAAUCAUCAUGCCCCUUAUGAUUUGGGCUACACACGUGCUACAAUGGACAAUACAAAGGGCAGCGAAACCGCGAGGUCAAGCAAAUCCCAUAAAGUUGUUCUCAGUUCGGAUUGUAGUCUGCAACUCGACUACAUGAAGCUGGAAUCGCUAGUAAUCGUAGAUCAGCAUGCUACGGUGAAUACGUUCCCGGGUCU
rnacentral:rRNA from 1 species